CAUAAUGCAGUAGCCACUGGAUUUGCAGCAGAAACACUCUGCUACAGAACAAGUGUCUUGGUUCACAGCAAAGAGGACAAAGAAAACAGCAAGUUUUAGGGGGUUGAAUCCUGGAUUCCCCUGGCAAACACCAUUCUACUUUCCGUCUCUAUGAAUUUGACUACUCGAAGUACCUCAUGUGAAAUGUUGGUGCCAAAUGAACUUUUCUGGUUCUUCUGAAUGUGGUGACCAGAUGGAUAUAAACGGGCUGUGGAAAAAGAGAAUGCAUGGCCAAAAAUGGUGGUGCUCUCUGUCCAAAAACUGAGGCCCUAUGACCAUGAAUGAAGCCAGAGGGCAGGUAGGAAUAGAUCAUUUGCUCCAGAAGAAGCUGGUUGCCAUGUCUUGAGGACAGUAAACCCUCUGGGGAGGUUCCUGUGGUAAGGAACAAGGGCUCCUGGCAAUAGCCUCUGAGUGAGCCACCUUGAAAAUGGAUUGUCCAGCCCCAGUCAAGCUUUCAGAUGACUGUAGCUCCUGCCAAUGUCUUCACCACAACCUCAUGAGAUCCCAAGCUACAACCACUCAGAACUUCAUCUUUUGGGAAGCACCAGGGAGAGCUGCCUGUGCCUGGCAGAAGCUGCCCAUGCCCCACUGAUACCCCACAGUACUUCCUGUUCUGCUUAGUACUCCUGCUUCUUUCUACAAACAACUGUGAUUCUCUACCUGGGAGCUUCCUCUGGCCACAGGAGCCUGCUCACCUGAUUGGGACACCCUAGCAGUACUGGCUCAUAGAUGGAAGGGACUUGCCUUGUCGCUGAUGAGACUUUCGACUUGGACUUUUGAGUCAAUGCUGGAAUGAGUUAAGACUUUGGGGAACUGUUGGAAGGGUGUGAUUGUGUUUUGAAUUGUGAGGACAUGAGAUUUUGAAGAGGCUAAUGGCAGCGUCCCCACCUAAAUCUCUUCUUGAAUUGUAGUUCCCAUAAUCCCCACGUGUCGUGGGGUGGAGCCGGUGGAGAUAAUUGAAUCAUGGGAACACUUUCCCCCAUGCUGUUAUUGUGAUUGUGAAUUCUCACGAGAUCUGAUGGUUGUAUAAACGCCUUCCCUCUUCGCUGGGCACUCAUUUUUCUCCUUCCUGCCACCAUGUGAAGAAGGAUAUGCUUGCUUCUUGUGCCAUGAUUACAAGAACACACUCAGAAAUUUUCUCAACACAGUUUCUAUGCAGAGAAGAGAUGUGGGACAGAUUUGAACUGCUGUCAUAUUUGUAUGAACCCAAGACAUUUUCCAAGACCAAGAGGGAUAAAGACAGCAAUUUCUAUGACUGGCAUUUUACGUGCAUGCACUGUUUCCAAGUGUUCUUGUGUUCUGUGCCUUAAACAUUCUGUGUUGCAACUUUAUGAAUUGAAUUAAAGAUAAUCCCAAGCCCCCAAUUGUCUCAAAAAGUGAAAAAGUAAAUGUUAUAGAAAGAAAAGCGGGAAAAACUUUAAGCAUGAAAUAAAAGAUGGGUUGUGAUAAAAGAGGACUGAAGAAGGAAAAGGAAUGAAAGGUUCUGCCAUCCUUCAUGGCAGCCCACUCCACUUGGUAUGAGAUACUGCUCCCUUGGCUGAAAGUUAACUGCUGUACUCCCUCCACUUUCUAUAAAUGACUCCCUGUGCCUUUCCUUCACCACACAACUCACACUCUCUUCCUUCCUAGUGAGUCCACUAAGGCUUCACUGCAUUAUUACAUUUAUUUCAUUUAGGAAAAACUGACUUUAUUUUCCUUCAAAUUGUUUUUUAUUGUUUAUAUGAGCUUGGUUUUAUUGUCAUUCUAUUUUUCUCCAUGAAAAUAGAGAAAAAUAGGGUCGAAAGGUUAGGUUGGGUGGAAAGGAAUUAUAUUUUUUCUCACUAAAAUUGAUGUAAAUAUCGUUUUCAAUUGAAUGAUUUUACACAGUGGCACAGUUUCAGGUAUGUUGCUAAGCAGGAAAGUUGUUAACCAAAGCAUGAAUGUAUUAAGGAGAUGUAUGCAGAAUGACAUGCAAGGUUAUCUAUGAUUGCUGAGUGAGAAAGAGCAAGUUGCUGAGUAUUAUAUAAGUAUGAUCUCACUUUUGUAAAAAAAAAAAAAAAAAAAGGCCUGGACUGAUCUGAAAUGACCCUAUUAAUAACAAUUAUGUCCAGGUCUGUAUUGCAUACUUGUCAUUCAUUACAGGAUCUUGAGACACAAUGCAAAGGAUCACAUCGCAGCUCUGUAACUUGUUAACUAUAAGAUUUUGAGUAACAUAACACCUUACUCCUUAAAAUUGCUUAAAAAAAAUCUGAACAUCAGGAAUAUUCUACUUCACAGGGUCGUUGUGAUAAUUAAAUGUAGUAAUCAAUGACAAUAGUGCCAGAUACAGUAGAUAGCCUACACUUUGCAGCUACUAUUUCUAUCUAUCAUCCAUCUAUUAAUAUAUAUCAUCUAUCUUUAACUUAUCAUCUAUCUUGUUCCAGUUUUUUAAAAUGAACAUGUAUUAACUUUGUAAAAAAUUAAGGCUAUAAGAUGUGCUGAGCUUUUGGAAUAGAUUUUCCUGUACUAUAUAUGACUGCCAGUGGGAGAAUUUGAAUAAAUGUGUAAAUUUGACUAA
rnacentral:lncRNA from 1 species